GAUGAACGCUGGCGGCGUGCCUAAUACAUGCAAGUCGAGCGAACAGACGAGGAGCUUGCUCCUCUGACGUUAGCGGCGGACGGGUGAGUAACACGUGGAUAACCUACCUAUAAGACUGGGAUAACUUCGGGAAACCGGAGCUAAUACCGGAUAAUAUAUUGAACCGCAUGGUUCAAUAGUGAAAGACGGUUUUGCUGUCACUUAUAGAUGGAUCCGCGCCGCAUUAGCUAGUUGGUAAGGUAACGGCUUACCAAGGCAACGAUGCGUAGCCGACCUGAGAGGGUGACCGGCCACACUGGAACUGAGACACGGUCCAGACUCCUACGGGAGGCAGCAGUAGGGAAUCUUCCGCAAUGGGCGAAAGCCUGACGGAGCAACGCCGCGUGAGUGAUGAAGGUCUUCGGAUCGUAAAACUCUGUUAUUAGGGAAGAACAAAUGUGUAAGUAACUAUGCACGUCUUGACGGUACCUAAUCAGAAAGCCACGGCUAACUCCGUG
rnacentral:rRNA from 1 species